rnacentral:lncRNA from 1 species
GUCUGUGUGCAUUUAAAUUCUGCUUGGAAUCUGAACCAAUAAGGAGAGUGAUAUCAAUUCCACCAAUAGAAAGCAAAUCCUGAAGAAUGUUUGGGAAUCUCCUUCAGAGCUGCUGAUUCAUUUCUCCCUUGAAACUUAACAUAUGCUGCCGUUGAAACAACGAUUCAGAAAAUGGAUGUUGGAAAUAAUGCAAUUCAUGCUAAGCCCAGAAUGCAAUAAUAAACCAAAGAGAAAAACAUCCUGCGGUCUGUGUGCAUUCAAAUGGAAUUUGGAAUAUGAACCAAUAAGGAGAGUGAUCUCACUUCCAUCAAAGGAAAGCAAAUACCCAGGAAAGCUUUGAGAGCUCCUUCAGAGCUUCUGAAUAAUUUCUUCCUCCAAACUAAACGAGUGAUGCUGCAGAAAAAACAGAAUAGAAAGUGGAUGGCAGGAAAAAGCAUACUUUAUCCUAGGCAUUGAAUACAAUACAAAAAAGAGAAAAACAUCUUUGGGUCUCUGGGACAUUUUCCCUUCUCUGGAGUGAUUUACUGUCAGGGUUUGACUAAUUAAAGCUAAGAGCUGGAUAUUAGCCAGG